rnacentral:rRNA from 1 species
CAAUAUCGCGAGAUGGAGCAAAUCCCUAAAAGCCAUCCCAGUUCGGAUCGCAGGCUGCAACCCGCCUGCGUGAAGUUGGAAUCGCUAGUAAUCGCGGAUCAGCAUGCCGCGGUGAAUACGUUCCCGGGCCUUGUACACACCGCCCGUCACACCAUGAGAGUCGGGAACACCCGAAGUCCGUAGCCUAACCGCAAGGGGGGCGCGGCCGAAGGUGGGUUCGAUAAUUGGGGUGAAGUCGUAACAAGGUACC